UUUUUUUUUACACGUUAAUUUAUGUUGAAGUAAAGUGAAACCUUAGCGAGGACGGAAGUAAUGUCACAUGCUGCGUAAGGCAGGACGUGAUUCCUGCGUGAUUCCUUCGCUCAAAAGCCACAAGAACCGCGGGAAUAGAGGGAGGACGACCACGUAUAGUUUCAAACUGUAAAGCCAUAACUUUGAAGAAUUUCAGCAGCAAUGAAGACGCACUCGAUACUGCCCGCUUCCAACAUUAGCCCGAGGUGAAUAUGAAUGAAGAAUGACCAAUGCCUCUUUUUUGCAUCAGUUUCCUUGUUCUCCUUCUUCUACCUCUCUCUCUGUCCUGUGGUAGUGUACAACUUGAUAACAUCAGAAGUGAUUAUAUCACCAUCAUUCAAACGGAACUGCAGAGGACAACAGAAGAAAUCACAAGCUUGCUGCAAAACUCAGACUGUUCAGUAUUCUCACACAAGCUACGCAACUGCACACCAGGCAACGCAACGUCUGUGCGUACCUUACAUAACCUAGCCUGCAAAAUGCGGAGUUUACCGUUUCUCCAGAUGACUCUACAACUGAUCACGUCCGUCGAAAUUUCGAUGAGUUGCCAUUGUCGUGAGAAAUCAAUCAAAAUGCCCACUGAGAGUUUAAAGAGGAGAAGGGGAGCAACAAGACGAAGGAGGAACGAGGGGACGAAAAACAGAAAGCAGACUAAAAAACUGUGCAAAGCCAGGGCAAUUCUUUCCGCCAUGACUGAAUGCUACCAGAUGCUAAACUCUCUAUAAAUGGAUACCUGAAUCCAAACUCAAUCACAGCAUGAAGCUCAAAACUUGCAUGCGCUGUCAGUUCCUGUGCAGUAUGCAUUGCUUCGGUGGAUUAUGCGAGGAGGAGCUUCCACUUCAUUUAAGCUUUCCUGUCAAGUACCAGUAUAUUUCUGUAGCAGCUGUUUCAGGUGUUGUAUGACUACUGACUCUUCAGAUAAGUUUCCCAGCCACACAGAAGCAAAAUAUUCAGUCAAGCGGAAAUGAAAUUCCUAAGUCUUCCUAAUAUCCUGAUUUCCCACACACUAAGGACCAGCUGCAUAUACAACCUUUUAUGCAGCAUCAUGUGGACUACAAACAGUUUAAGGUGCAUGUUUUUUUUUAUUAUCACAGCAAAGCGUUUUAAUAGCUGAAGUUGUGUUUAGCUAUAAAAAGUGGAUAUGAUUAACUUUAAAGGUGCUUAAACUGAACUUUGUUUUUCCAAGCACUUGCUACGACAUUAACUUGCACUUAGUAGUGGCUGCUGAAGCAUGACUAGGAAAUAUUAAGGUGCUCAGAUAUAGUUUUGCUUUCACUUUGGAUUGGAAUAACUAGCCCUGGCAGAUCUUUUUUUAUCUUGGUUAUCUAAAGCUCCUCAAUUUUUGUUUUUAAUUUUCCUGUCCGGGGAGUUGUUUUAGGCUGUGUGUCAAGGUACGGUCUGAGAUGACACUGUGUUGAUUACUCAUUGACAAUGAUUUAUAUAUUAAAAGCAUGCUUUGCCACAGUUAUUUAAGCUCAGGUCACAGACCUUUUUUUUCCUAUCCUGGGAUAUAGCUACAGUACGAGCUUUUACUGUCACAAUCAGUUGGUGCUCUGAUUAAUGUUAUCUACCUAAAAACUUUUUUCCCUUUUUACACAAUUAUAGAAAAUAUAAGCAUGCAACCUUUGCUACAUUUUGCAGCUAUUUUCAGCACAGCAGCUAUUUGUUUCCCGUCAUGUAGCAUACAUUAUGUACUACAUAACAUUAUGUUGUUAUGUAGCUAACUUCUGUCUUUAAACUGUAUAUUUAAGCUGAUGACUAACAUUGUAUAUAACAUGGCAUACUAUUCAAAAAAUAUAUUUAUAUCCCAAACAAAGAUAAGGUGUGUGUUACUUAUUAGUCAGACUCACAAUUACAGCUGUCUUCAAAGAGGUUUAUUGAUGGUGGAUGUACACGGCAUUUGGUGCACAAUCAUAUCCAGUCUAACAGCUGACGUUAUCAUUACAGGAAAACGCAGCCCUCCAGUAGGCUUAAACCUUUCUCGUGACGUAACGUGAAUAUAGUUUGUUACCGGUAAUAAAUGCCCUACUUAGAUAAUUAAUCAUGCACCUCAAGGAGAGAUUUGUCCCCGCUCUUCCAAGUCUCACCAUAAAAUAACCUAUGUGGGGGUCAUCAAGCAAAGGUCGACAGCAAAAUUACUUUAGUGUCACCGUAUCGUUGAUUCUAAAUACCUUAAUGCACUGAACACUGACUCAGUAGAAACACUGCUGAGAAAGGAAAAAAAAAAAAAGCAAUUUCAACACACUGAGGUGUGUUUUGGUUUCACACAAUUCCAAAUGAAACCUAUUUUAAUUCUGUAGAACAUAAAAGAACAAACAAAAACCAUACAAUCACUGUUCAGUCAGUAAAAAUGAAAAGGAAUAAGAAAAUAAAUAAAUGUAUAAACCUAGUGGGAAUAAAGGGAAUGAGUAAAUGCUACAUUUGGGUAUAAUGUAUAUGGGAUAACAGGUUUUUCCUGUUAAGUGACCUUAAAGGGAGCACUGACCUGUAACAACUCAACCUUUUUUGGAUUGGUUCCUAAGAAAACAGGGUGAUAAGAUAAAAAUUUGAAGCUAUUUUCUUUAAAAAAAAAAAAAAAAAAAUCACACUGCUUUCUU